GCCAGGCGCAGUGGUGCACACCUGUAAUCCAAGCGGCUCAGGAGGCUGAGACAGGAGGAUCGCGAGUUCAAAGCCAGCCUCAGACAUGGCAAGGCAUUAAGCAACUCAGUGAGACCCUGUCUCUA
rnacentral:sRNA from 1 species